UGAUCUUUUACAGUACGGUUUGUACCUGUGGAGACGCCUGACCAGAAUUAUUAAAGGUCAACCCAGGAAAGGAUGUUACUGUGGUCACAAUGAAUGGGCGACAUGAUCUCAGCAUGCCUGAGUUGAAUUGUGAGGCAUGCAAAGCCACUUGGACUGCUGGAGUGGACGACCUCAUUCGCAGUGACUACUGGCCUGCUACACUUCACUCUGCUACAGUUUAUGCAACCGAGAUUUUGUUUUCAUUUGAAGAAAUGAAGAUGGUGGCACCAGGAUUGUCCUGCCAGGCAUUUUUGACAAUGUCCGCUUUGGCCGUACUGGGAAGAUCUCUGCAGACAGCUUCCAAAAAAGUUUUUUUGAGUGGGAAGCUGUGCAACAUCUGCAAAGAGGAGCCCUUCAUCUGUCCUGCGUGCACCCCAAAUAUGCUUGCAGUUUCCGUGGAUGGAAAUCGCAAGCAUUACCGGUUCAAGAAUGCAUCUAGAUCCGAGGAACAGGCCAUUUUUCAAGGCGUCUUCAUAGCCAAGGAUGAAGACGUUGCCACAUUUGUGGACCACAUACACAGGACAUCCAAACAUGUCUCUGGAAGAGGUGUUUGUGGAGGGGAGUGGUCAGCAGCUAGAGAGACCUCCCAAAGAUCCACCAGCAAGGUAGAUGAGGAGGGACUGGAGCUUGCGGUGUGUAGGCAUGGUGUUCUGCUGCGUGCUCUCAAUAUGUACAGGGGAGAAAUGUUUGCUUAUCCCCUGUAUUUGCAAGAAAAGCUUGCCAGCAGGCAAAUCACUUUCUUCUGUAUGGAUGUGACCUGCAAGUAUUGGCCCUACCUCCAAAAAGCUCCAGCCCCUCCUCAGCAUGAAGCCGUUCCUGUCUGUAUUUCAUGCCAAAGCUCAUGAUUUCAAAUGCGAGGUCAAAUGGAGUGGGGCAUAUCAGGAAGGGGCUGGCCUAACACUAGGCGAGGAGGUUGAGCAGUGCAAUGCCUUCCUCUCUAGGAUUGCAGUGACCACAAAGCACAUGUCAAAAGCUGGUGAGAUGACCACAUACUGCACUAGUUAGAUGGACGCACAGACAUGCUGACUCUCUUGGCCAUGCGCUGGAAUCAGCAAAAGUUCAACAAUUUGGCCACCUCACUGUCUCACAGAUAUCACAAGACCAUACAAUCUCUACAAAGCAAGCAACAGAAUGUUGAGUCCAUGAAAGCUCAGUUGGCAGUGACAGAGAGCCAUUUGGAAGACUGGGUCAGUGAUGUCAAAGAGUGGGCAGAAGCAACAACAAACACAAGCACAAAUGAUGUGGAUGCCUUGGCCAGUAGAAUCGAGGUGCUGGUGACCAGUAUAAAGAGACGCUCACAGCGUCUUUAUAAAGAUACUGACGGCAACAAAGGUCGUGCCAGGAUCCGCCGCAAAAUCAGGGAGGAGAAGGGGAUCCUGACCUCUGUUGUGGAGAAAUACAACAAAAUAGUUCCAAGCACAGAAAGUCUUUGCAUGGAAACCAUUGUGUCUGGCGAGACAGCUUGGCCAUGGCAGCUACCACACAGUGGUAUGUACACUACUACUUUGAACAAAUCGGACUGAUAAUGACACACAAACACAGAACCAGUACCCUCAAAUGAGGAUCUGUUACCCUACAGGACUUUAGACAUUCUUUGAUAGAGUACAUAUAACUAACUUCAUGAUAUUGUCUAUGUACAGUGCCUUGAGAUAAUGUAUGUUGUGAUUUGGUGCUAUACACUGUAAAAACUAACAUAUAGAAUUUACCCAAUAAA